UACAGAGGUCUCAAGCGUUGUUCGGAUUCAUUGGGCGUAAAGGGUGCGUAGGCGGCGCGGUAAGUCGGGUGUGAAAUCUCGGAGCUUAACUCCGAAACUGCAUUCGAUACUGCCGUGCUUGAGGACUGGAGAGGAGACUGGAAUUUACGGUGUAACGGUGAAAUGCGUAGAUAUCGUAAGGAAGACCAGUGGCGAAGGCGGGUCUCUGGACAGUUCCUGACGCUGAGGCACGAAGGUCAGGGGAGCAAACGGG
rnacentral:rRNA from 1 species